GACGAACGCUGGCGGCGUGCUUAACACAUGCAAGUAGGACGCAGUUGCGAACGUGAGAGUAACGCGUAGGUAACUACCUAUUAGAGAGGGAUAACUAUCGGCAACGAUAGCUAAUACCGCAUACUUGUAGAAGGACCUGCGUUGUAUUAGCUAGUAGGUUGGGUAAAGGCCUACCUAGGCAACGAUACAUAGCCGACCUGAGAGGGUGAUCGGCCACACUGGGACUGAGACACGGCCCAGACUCCUACGGGAGGCAGCAGUAGGGAAUCUUCCGCAAUGGGGGGAAGCCUGACCGAGCAACGCCGCGUGAGUGAAGAAGGUUUUCGGGUCGUAAAGCUCUGUUAUUAAGGAAGCGGUACUUAACCAGAAAGGGACGGCUAACUACGUGCCAGCAGCCGCGGUAAUUC
rnacentral:rRNA from 1 species